rnacentral:rRNA from 1 species
UAAGGAAUAUUGCGCAAUGGGCGACAGCCUGACGCAGCGACGCCGCGUGGGGGAUGAAGGUCUUCGGAUUGUAAACCCCUUUCGGGAGGGAAGAGGGAAUGGGGUAACCCAUUCGGACGGUACCUCCAGAAGCAGCCACGGCUAACUUCGUGCCAGCAGCCGCGGUAAUACGAAGGUGGCAAGCGUUGUUCGGAUUCACUGGGCGUACAGGGAGCGUAGGCGGUUGGGUAAGCCCUCCGUGAAAUCUCCGGGCCUAACCCGGAAAGUGCAGAGGGGACUGCUCGGCUUGAGGACGGGAGAGGAGCGCGGAAUUCCCGGUGUAGCGGUGAAAUGCGUAGAGAUCGGGAGGAAGGCCGGUGGCGAAGGCGGCGCUCUGGAACGUUUCUGACGCUGAGGCUCGAAAGCGUGGGGAGCAAACA